UACGAAGGGACCUAGCGUAGUUCGGAAUUACUGGGCUUAAAGAGUUCGUAGGUGGUUAAAAAAGUUGAUGGUGAAAUCCCAAGGCUCAACCUUGGAACUGCCAUCAAAACUUUUUAGCUAGAGUAUGAUAGAGGAAAGCGGAAUUUCUAGUGUAGAGGUGAAAUUCGUAGAUAUUAGAAAGAACACCAAAAGCGAAGGCAGCUUUCUGGAUCAUUACUGACACUGAGGAACGAAAGCAUGGGUAGCGAAGAGGAUUAGAUACCCUCGUAGUCCAUGCCGUAAACGAUGUGUGCUAGACGUUGGAAACUUAGUUUUCAGUGUCGCAGCGAAAGCAUUAAGCACACCGCCUGGGGAGUACGACCGCAAGGUUAAAACUCAAAUGAAUUGACGGGGACCCGCACAAGUAGUGGAGCAUGUGGUUUAAUUCGAAGAUACGCGCAGAACCUUACCAACACUUGACAUGUUCGUCGCGAGACCAAGAGAUUGGUUUCUUCAUUCAGUUGGACGAAACACAGGUGCUGCAUGGCUGUCGUCAGCUCGUGCCGUGAGAUGUUGGGUUAAGUCCCGCAACGAGCGCAACCCCUACCUUUAGUUGCCACCAUUUAGUUGGGCACUUUAAAGGAACUGCCAGUGAUAAGCUGGAGGAAGGUGGGGAUGACGUCAAGUCCUCAUGGCCCUUACGUGUUGGGCUACACACGUGCUACAAUGGCAUUUACAAUGGGAAGCUAAGACGCGAGUCCAAGCUAAUCCCAAAAAGAUGCCUCAGUUCGGAUUGUACUCUGUAACUCGAGUGCAUGAAGCUGGAAUUACUAGUAAUCGCGGAUCAGCGCGCCGCGGUGAAUACGUUCCCGGGUCU
rnacentral:rRNA from 1 species